rnacentral:rRNA from 1 species
CUACGGGAGGCAGCAGUGAGGAAUUUUGCGCAAUGGGGGGAACCCUGACGCAGCAACGCCGCGUGAGUGAUGAAGGCUUUCGGGUCGUAAAGCUCUGUCAAGUGGGAAGAACCUAUGCAGUGUUAAUAUCACUGUAUACUGACGGUACCACUGAAGGAAGCACCGGCUAACUCCGUGCCAGCAGCCGCGGUAAUACGGGGGGUGCAAGCGUUAUUCGGAAUCAUUGGGCGUAAAGGGCACGUAGGCGGCUUGGUAAGUCAGAUGUGAAAGCCCGGGGCUUAACCCCGGAAGUGCAUUUGAUACUGUCAGGCUUGAGUAUGGGAGAGGGAAGUGGAAUUCCUGGUGUAGAGGUGAAAUUCGUAGAUAUCAGGAGGAACACCGGUGGCGAAGGCGACUUCCUGGACCAAUACUGACGCUGAGGUGCGAAGGCGUGGGUAGCAAACAGGAUUAGAUACCCCGGUAGUC